rnacentral:rRNA from 1 species
GACGAACGCUGGCGGCGUGCCUAACACAUGCAAGUCGAGCGGGGAUUUAAGUGGAAGUUCUUCGGAAUGGAGAUUUAAAUUCUAGCGGCGGACGGGUGAGUAACGCGUGAACAAUCUGUCCCGGACAGGGGGAUAACACUUGGAAACAGGUGCUAAUACCGCAUAAGACCACGGCCUCGCAUGGGGCUGAGGUAAAAGGAGCAAUCCGGUUCGGGGUGAGUUCGCGUCCGAUUAGCUAGUUGGUGAGGUAACGGCCCACCAAGGCGACGAUCGGUAGCCGGCCUGAGAGGGUGAACGGCCACAUUGGAACUGAGAGACGGUCCAAACUCCUACGGGAGGCAGCAGUGGGGAAUAUUGGGCAAUGGGCGAAAGCCUGACCCAGCAACGCCGCGUGAGGGAAGAAGGUUUUCAGAUUGUAAACCUCUGUCCUAUGGGACGAAGGAAGUGACGGUACCAUAGGAGGAAGCCCCGGCUAACUACGUG